CGCAACAGUCGGCGUCGGCAUCGGCGAGUUCUCUGGUGACUGCUUGGUGUGUCAGGGCCUUAAAAGUGCGCUCCACUUCCCUUCUGAUUCUGUCUCACCUUCCUCUGCAGGGUUGUUGUUGACCUCAAAGAGGAAGCGUGGUACCAGAAGUGUCUCGACCCUGAGUGCAGGAACUUCAGGUCCUCAAGCUACCCACUGCCACAGGAGAUCUGCGUCAGCUACAUCAUGACACUGGACGAGGAGGACCAGGCCUACUUAAUGGACGAUGCCGGCAACAUUGAACUCAGCCAGGCCUCGACCCCCCAGAGGACAGUGUGUCCAGAGCAGGGACCUGCAGACGGCUGGGGGGACGGGGACGACGACCAGGACUAUUUACACAGCCUGGACGACUUUGAACAAAAAAGCGGGGAUAUCCCUGAUCUGCUUCUGCUCAAAUGUAUGGCAGACUUUGACUCCCAUUAGAGGGAAGCCACUUCCCGACGUCUCCCGUGUGCAGCCAUCCGUCCUCGUCGAUGGCCUCUGCAGUUCUCUCGGAAUCUUUCAGGUAUCCCAG